CCCGGCCUCGUACACACCGCCCGUCGACACCACGUAAAGCCCGCUACAACAGGAAGUCCGGUCGAACUUUUAACCCGGCGAAGGAAAUACGCCGACCGAAGUUGUGUUGGUGAUUGGGGUG
rnacentral:rRNA from 1 species